GGCAAAAAAGGCUCAGAUGGGUUUCUGCCACUGAGCCAACAUGGAGACUGAGGGGAGGCUGGUACAGUCAAUUUACUAUGGGAGUAUUGGAAGUCAGGACACAGAGCGGCUGCUGGAGAGAUUCGGAUCUCAAUAACUGACAACAUGUGAUAGCAGGUCUGAAAAUGACUUUAUGGUAUGAAAUCUGUUAAACUUAUGCUACUAAUUAAAUGUUAAUAUAUUUAAAAACUAUCUCAGAUCAAUUAUAGGAGUUUUGUAUAGAAUUCUGUGACUGUGAAAUGUAUACAAACAGUAAAUUCUGGGUGGAAAUGUGCAAAUUUCUUUUCUUAUGGACAGGUAGAAGAUGGAU
ensembl:lncRNA